rnacentral:rRNA from 1 species
AAUUGAAACAUCUUAGUACCCUCAGGAAAAGAAAUCAAUAGAGAUUGCGUCAGUAGCGGCGAGCGAAAGCGCAAGAGGGCAAACCCAGUGCUUGCACUGGGGGUUGUAGGACUGCAAUGUGCAAGAGCUGAGUUUAGCAGAACAUUCUGGAAAGUAUAGCCAUAGAGGGUGAUAGUCCCGUAUGCGAAAAACAAAGCUUAGCUAGCAGUAUCCUGAGUAGGGCGGGACACGAGGAAUCCUGUCUGAAUCCGGGUCGACCACGAUCCAACCCUAAAUACUAAUACCAGAUCGAUAGUGCACAAGUACCGUGAGGGAAAGGUGAAAAGAACUGAGGUGAUCAGAGUGAAAUAGAACCUGAAACCAUUUGCUUACAAUCAUUCAGAGCACUAUGUAGCAAUACAGUGUGAUGGACUGCCUUUUGCAUAAUGAGCCUGCGAGUUGUGGUGUCUGGCAAGGUUAAGCAAACGCGAAGCCGUAGCGAAAGCGAGUCUGAAUAGGGCGCUUAGUCAGAUGCUGCAGACCCGAAACGAAGUGAUCUAUCCAUGAGCAAGUUGAAGCUAGUGUAAGAACUAGUGGAGGACUGAACCCAUAGGCGUUGAAAAGCCCCGGGAUGACUUGUGGAUAGGGGUGAAAGGCCAAUCAAACUUCGUGAUAGCUGGUUCUCUCCGAAAUAUAUUUAGGUAUAGCGUUGUGUCGUAAUAUAAGGGGGUAGAGCACUGAAUGGGCUAGGGCAUACACCAAUGUACCAAACCCUAUCAAACUCCGAAUACCUUAUAUGUAAUCACAGCAGUCAGGCGGCGAGUGAUAAAAUCCGUCGUCAAGAGGGAAACAACCCAGACUACCAGCUAAGGUCCCUAAAUCUUACUUAAGUGGAAAACGAUGUGAAGUUACUUAAACAACCAGGAGGUUGGCUUAGAAGCAGCCAUCCUUUAAAGAAAGCGUAAUAGCUCACUGGUCUAGUGAUUUUGCGCGGAAAAUAUAACGGGGCUAAAGUAAGUACCGAAGCUGUAGACUUGCACACAACUUAGAUUAUUUAAGUUUAGAAUAUGAGAAACUAAGUUAUAUGUUUAGUUAUAUUUUUACUGAUUUUUAUAGAGUAAAGAUAGAAAUAAAACUUAGUAAAAUCAGUAAAAAUAUUCUUAGGCUAAAGUUAAGUAGUUUAAGUUGUGUGCAAGUGGUAGGAGAGCGUUCUAUUUGCGUCGAAGGUAUACCGGUAAGGAGUGCUGGAGCGAAUAGAAGUGAGCAUGCAGGCAUGAGUAGCGAUAAUUAAUGUGAGAAUCAUUAACGCCGUAAACCCAAGGUUUCCUACGCGAUGCUCGUCAUCGUAGGGUUAGUCGGGUCCUAAGUCGAGUCCGAAAGGGGUAGACGAUGGCAAAUUGGUUAAUAUUCCAAUACCAACAUUAGUGUGCGAUGGAAGGACGCUUAGGGCUAAGGGGGCUAGCGGAUGGAAGUGCUAGUCUAAGGUUGUAGGAGGUUAUACAGGCAAAUCCGUAUAACAAUACUCCGAGAACUGAAAGGCUUUUUGAAGUCUUCGGAUGGAUAGAAGAACCCCUGAUGCCGUCGAGCCAAGAAAAGUUUCUAAGUUUAGCUAAUGUUGCCCGUACCGUAAACCGACACAGGUGGGUGGGAUGAGUAUUCUAAGGCGCGUGGAAGAACUCUCUUUAAGGAACUCUGCAAAAUAGCACCGUAUCUUCGGUAUAAGGUGUGGUUAGCUUCGUACUAGGAUUUACUCCGAAAGCGAAGAAACUUACAACAAAGAGUCCCUCCCGACUGUUUACCAAAAACACAGCACUCUGCUAACUCGUAAGAGGAUGUAUAGGGUGUGACGCCUGCCCGGUGCUCGAAGGUUAAUUGAUGGGGUUAGCAUUAGCGAAGCUCUUGAUCGAAGCCCGAGUAAACGGCGGCCGUAACUAUAACGGUCCUAAGGUAGCGAAAUUCCUUGUCGGUUAAAUACCGACCUGCAUGAAUGGCGUAACGAGAUGGGAGCUGUCUCAAAGAGGGAUCCAGUGAAAUUGUAGUGGAGGUGAAAAUUCCUCCUACCCGCGGCAAGACGGAAAGACCCCGUGGACCUUUACUACAGCUUGACACUGCUACUUGGAUAAGAAUGUGCAGGAUAGGUGGGAGGCUUUGAGUAUAUGACGCCAGUUGUAUAUGAGCCAUUGUUGAGAUACCACUCUUUCUUAUUUGGGUAGCUAACCAGCUUGAGUUAUCCUCAAGUGGGACAAUGUCUGGUGGGUAGUUUGACUGGGGCGGUCGCCUCCCAAAUAAUAACGGAGGCUUACAAAGGUUGGCUCAGAACGGUUGGAAAUCGUUCGUAGAGUAUAAAGGUAUAAGCCAGCUUAACUGCAAGACAUACAAGUCAAGCAGAGACGAAAGUCGGUCUUAGUGAUCCGGUGGUUCUGUGUGGAAGGGCCAUCGCUCAAAGGAUAAAAGGUACCCCGGGGAUAACAGGCUGAUCUCCCCCAAGAGCUCACAUCGACGGGGAGGUUUGGCACCUCGAUGUCGGCUCAUCGCAUCCUGGGGCUGGAGCAGGUCCCAAGGGUAUGGCUGUUCGCCAUUUAAAGCGGUACGCGAGCUGGGUUCAGAACGUCGUGAGACAGUUCGGUCCCUAUCUGCCGUGGGCGUAAGAAGAUUGAAGAGAUUUGACCCUAGUACGAGAGGACCGGGUUGAACAAACCACUGGUGUAGCUGUUGUUCUGCCAAGAGCAUCGCAGCGUAGCUAAGUUUGGAAAGGAUAAACGCUGAAAGCAUCUAAGCGUGAAGCCAACUCUAAGAUGAAUCUUCUCUAAGCUCUCUAGAAGACUACUAGUUUGAUAGGCUGGGUGUGUAAUGGAUGAAAGUCCUUUAGCUGACCAGUACUAAUAGAGCGUUUGGCUUAUCUUUAAUAAAGCAU